rnacentral:rRNA from 1 species
UACGUAGGGUCCGAGCGUUGUCCGGAAUUACUGGGCGUAAAGAGCUCGUAGGUGGUUUGUCGCGUUGUCCGUGAAAACUCACAGCUUAACUGUGGGCGUGCGGGCGAUACGGGCAGACUGGAGUACUGCAGGGGAGACUGGAAUCCUGGUGUAGCGGUGGAAUGCGCAGAUAUCAGGAGGAACACCGGUGGCGAAGGCGGGUCUCUGGGCAGUAACUGACGCUGAGGCACGAAGGUCAGGGGAGCAAACGGG